rnacentral:rRNA from 1 species
CAAUAGCGUAUAUUAAUGUUGUUGCAGUUAAAAAGCUCGUAGUUGGAUUUCUGCGUCGCGCAGCUGUGUCCGCUGCAAUGCAGUGUGACUGUGGCUGGUGCGUCGCUUCCUUGUGGAGACUGUUAGUGUCAUUAAUUUGAUGUGAUCAGGAACCGCAUCGUUUACUGUGAAAAAAUUAGAGUGUUCAAAGCAGGCUUAUGCCGCGAAUACAUUAGCAUGGAAUAAUAAGAUAGGACUUUGGUUCUAUUUUGUUGGUUGGAGGCCAAGGUAAUGAUUAAUAGGGAUAGUUGGGGGCAUUUGUAUUUCGGCGCUAGAGGUGAAAUUCUUAGAUUGCCGAAAGACAAACUGCUGCGAAAGCGUCUGCCAAGGAUGUUUUCAUUGA